AAACCAGUACAGGUUACAGAGAAUAAUCAUCGGAAACAGAAUAAGACGUGAGAUAAGUUCAUGUCAUGACUGUAAGUCAAGCACCAAGUUUCCUACACUAUUUCUUUUCCUUCCUGAGUUUGACAUCUUGUCGAGAGGUCCCACGAUGAGAGAAUUGGAAGGAAGUUUCCUCCAUGACUAAUGGUUUAGAUAUCUUUUUAUAAACUGUGGUUCACAAAUAUCAACCCAACUCAUCACGUGCAGUUAAGAAGCCUGGAUUCCGUCACUAACAAAAGUAGAACUUCAUUGAUUGGUCCAUAUUUUCUUUUGCCUUUCCAUGUUUUCGUUUUAUUAGAAGAAAAAAGACUCAGUGCUUUGAUAGUUACUUGGAUGGAUAGAUAAUUAAAGCUAAAGGAGAUUUGCUUGGUGUAGAAAAAGUGUGGAAAGUUGGCAGUCCGGACGGUUCAUGCAUUUGCAGAAUUUUCCUUCCGGUUACAAGAUAGAGCAAAGAAAUUUCAGUGCAGAAAAAUGAAGCCUUAUAUUCCAAUUUUUUUCCAGCUAUGUGAAAGGUAAGUAAACAUUAUUAAACAUCUAGUCAUAAUUAUUUAUUUUUAAAAUGUACCCUACGGGUAUGUAAAUUAAUAUAUGAAAAAUAUUUUAAAAAAUAUGGUAAAAUCAAAACAAUAUAUCAAAAUAAUUUGAUAUCUAUAUGUACCAGAAGUAGAAAAAAAAAAACAACAAUGCUACUGGUUGGCACUAAAAAUCCUGUUAUGAACAACAUAGUCUGGGCAAAGGAAUCCUUGUACACUUCAGUCUUCAACCUGCUAACUCUAUUCUCUUGAGCUUUCCAUUUUGCAUCCCUUUCUUAUCUAGAAGUUCAAGUCAAGCUAGCAUUGAGUUAAGAGUAAAUAAUAAGCACAGGUGAAAUGGCAAAAAUAUGUGGUGUUAGUUAAUAUCAUUCUCAAAUUCAAUCCUUCCAUAAUUCAUGUCUCAUACCAUACAAAUACUAAAAAUAUCCACUUCAUGCAGUUUCCUCCCAUUUUCUUAUGUUGACGAGGAAAUUUUCCAAGUCAACUAAACUGUUACACCAUUUUUUUAUUGAAAAACGGGGUCGACUUGGGUUUUGAAAAUGAAAAUGGGAGUCGCCACCAAUCUUUUUUAUAAGGUGUUAUUGGAUCACCUUGCAAAGCGUUGUUUUUAAUAAACAAUUUAAUUUUAUUAAAACAACGAUUUUGGUCCACGAAAUUCAGAAAAAACGGGUUCGGGAGUCGGUUACGCACGAGGAAGGAUUAGCACCCUCGAUACGCCCAAAAUUGGUACUUAGUUGAUUACUUAAAAUUUUUUUAUUUUUGUUUUUUGGCAAAUGUAUACUGUUUUUUUUAUAUAUAUGUAAAUAUAUGUAUAUAUAUAAAUAUAAAAAGAACAGAUGCAAAAAAAGAGAUGUGAAAAAGAAACCUUGAAACUUGUUUUUUUUAUUUCUUUUAAAGUUCUUGUACCAAAAUCUAAAAAAAAAAAAAAAAAACCCUAAAAUACAUUUUUCGUUGGCUUUUAUAGCCCAUCUUUGCUACCGUUUCUUGUCUUUUCUUCUUUGAUUUUGCAGGUGCAAGUGAUGGGACAGUGGCGGUGGCACUAGGUCGGCGACCAGCAGGGCAGCACCUAGGGUUUGAAAAAUUUUAAUUUUUUGUUUCUGAUUUGGGUUUCUGGGCUAGGGUUAGAUUUGGGCUUAUUAAGCUUUUUGUUUUCUGAUUUGGGCUGUGGUGUAUUGGGCUAGGCUAGUUGGAUCUGGGGCUGUUUGGUUAGGGUAAUGGGUUGUUUGUAAUUGGGCCCCGGGUCAAAAAUUGGGCCCUACAUAAACUGUUCAGUAAAUAAAAGAUUAAUGAUGCGGUCGGUCUUAUUAAAUCGUUUCAAGAUUUUUUUUAGUGGCAAUUACUAAUUACAAGUGGAAACACGAAAGGAAACUCAAGGUAGCAAAUACAAGACAACCUUGAGUUUGAGUUGGUAUGCACGAUAUUGCCGAGAUAUUACAUGAAGGGUACUAAAAUUAUUCAAAAAAAAAUGUUUCUUUUUGGGACAAUCAAAUAUUAGUUUUCAGCUUUAAAUACUUGUAAUCAAUAAUAAAUCCCUCGGAGGUUUUGCAGGUCGAUAUUAGAUGGUCUUUGUUUAUGAGGUUGAGCCUGCAAGGUAUGGAAACUUUGUUUAUAUCCGAUUUCCAGUGAUGGUGAUGAUAAAUUAGCUGUAAUCCCUAAACCUGGAAUGGCCAGAUAGUGGUGAAAUGAACUUUUGGUAGCUUUGUCUAUAGGGAUAAUAUAUUUUCUCCUUUAGCUAGUUUCACUUCGAUUUUGG
rnacentral:lncRNA from 1 species